rnacentral:rRNA from 1 species
GACGAACGCUGGCGGCGUGCUUAACACAUGCAAGUCGAACGAGGAGCGAUGGAAGCUUGCUUCUAUCAAUCUUAGUGGCGAACGGGUGAGUAACGCGUAAUCAACCUGCCCUUCAGAGGGGGACAACAGUUGGAAACGACUGCUAAUACCGCAUACGAUCUAAUCUCGGCAUCGAGGAAAGAUGAAAGGUGGCCUCUAUUUAUAAGCUAUCACUGAAGGAGGGGAUUGCGUCUGAUUAGCUAGUUGGAGGGGUAACGGCCCACCAAGGCGAUGAUCAGUAGCCGGUCUGAGAGGAUGAACGGCCACAUUGGGACUGAGACACGGCCCAGACUCCUACGGGAGGCAGCAGUGGGGAAUCUUCCGCAAUGGACGAAAGUCUGACGGAGCAACGCCGCGUGAGUGAUGACGGCCUUCGGGUUGUAAAGCUCUGUUAAUCGGGACGAAAGGCCUUCUUGCGAACAGUUAGAAGGAUUGACGGUACCGGAAUAGAAAGCCACGGCUAACUACGG